GGACGGUGAUGAUUGAUUUUUGGUCUCGUUCGUCAUAACUGGCAUUUGUUUUACUUGCCGAGUACCCAAAUUCUAAGUCC
rfam:Triticum urartu cultivar G1812 contig43578, whole genome shotgun sequence.